rnacentral:rRNA from 1 species
UGCCAGCCGCCGCGGUAAUACGGAGGGGGUUAGCGUUAUUCGGAAUCACUGGGCUUAAAGGGUGCGUAGGCGGCUUAAUAAGUCAGGUGUGAAAUCCCACGGCUCAACCGUGGAACUGCGCUUGAAACUGUUAAGCUUGAGUAUCUCAGGGGUGUGCGGAACUUCCAGUGGAGCGGUGAAAUGUGUUGAUAUUGGAAGGAACACCGGUAGCGAAAGCGGCACACUGGGGGAUGUCUGACGCUGAGGCACGAAAGCCAGGGGAGCGAACAGGAUUAGAUA